rnacentral:rRNA from 2 species
AUAAGGCACCAUACUACCCUGAACACACCGGAUCUCAUCUGAUCUCGGAAGCUAAGCAGGGUCGGGCCUGUUGGGUACUUGGAUGGGAGUCCCUUUUU